UGGGGAAUUUUGGACAAUGGGCGAAAGCCUGAUCCAGCAAUGCCGCGUGUGUGAAGAAGGCCUUCGGGUUGUAAAGCACUUUUGUCCGGAAAGAAAUCCUUGGCUCUAAUACAGUCGGGGGAUGACGGUACCGGAAGAAUAAGCACCGGCUAACUACGUGCCAGCAGCCGCGGUAAUACGUAGGGUGCAAGCGUUAAUCGGAAUUACUGGGCGUAAAGCGUGCGCAGGCGGUUUGCUAAGACCGAUGUGAAAUCCCCGGGCUCAACCUGGGAACUGCAUUGGUGACUGGCAGGCUAGAGUAUGGCAGAGGGGGGCAGAAUUCCACGUGUAGCAGUGAAAUGCGUAGAGAUGUGGAGGAAUACCGAUGGCGAAGGCAGCCCCCUGGGCCAAUACUGACGCUCAUGCACGAAAGCGU
rnacentral:rRNA from 1 species